rnacentral:miRNA from 1 species
AGAUAGAGAGGUGUCAGGAUUUUU